rnacentral:rRNA from 2 species
AAAUUGAAGAGUUUGAUCAUGGCUCAGAUUGAACGCUGGCGGCAGGCCUAACACAUGCAAGUCGAACGGUAACAGGAAGCAGCUUGCUGCUUCGCUGACGAGUGGCGGACGGGUGAGUAAUGUCUGGGAAACUGCCUGAUGGAGGGGGAUAACUACUGGAAACGGUAGCUAAUACCGCAUAAUGUCGCAAGACCAAAGAGGGGGACCUUCGGGCCUCUUGCCAUCGGAUGUGCCCAGAUGGGAUUAGCUUGUUGGUGGGGUAACGGCUCACCAAGGCGACGAUCCCUAGCUGGUCUGAGAGGAUGACCAGCCACACUGGAACUGAGACACGGUCCAGACUCCUACGGGAGGCAGCAGUGGGGAAUAUUGCACAAUGGGCGCAAGCCUGA